rnacentral:misc_RNA from 1 species
GCAAACUUGGUCAUUUAGAGGAAGUAAAAGUCGUAACAAGGUUUCCGUAGGUAUGUAGAAGCUUUUCGUUUACACCUCUUUACGCUCUCUUUGAUAAAUGUGCUAACUUGUACUCUUAGGUGAACCUGCGGAAGGAUCAUUAUCGAGUGAUGGCUGUCUUUCCAGGCGGCUGCCUCCUGUCCUGUGCCUACUACACGCUUUUGCUUCGGCGGGGGAACCCGCCUGAGCACGCUUUGAAAAGUCUUGAAAUUGGUCGUCAGAGGUUUUUUUGCAAAUAAAAAAAACUUUCAACAACGGAUCUCUUGGUUCCGGCAUCGAUGAAGAACGCAGC